rnacentral:rRNA from 1 species
UACGAGGGGGGCGAGCGUUGUUCGGAAUUAUUGGGCGUAAAGGGUGCGUAGGCGGUUUGGUAAGUCUUGUGUGAAAUCUACAGGCUCAACUUGUAGUCUGCACGAGAAACUGCCGGGCUUGAGUGUGGGAGAGGUGAGUGGAAUUCCUGGUGUAGCGGUGAAAUGCGUAGAUAUCAGGAGGAACACCUGUGGCGAAAGCGGCUCACUGGACCAUAACUGACGCUGAUGCACGAAAGCUAGGAGAGCAAACAGG